AGGAGGGCCCGCUCCUCUAUCUCCUUCCAUGGUUGUUCUUGUGUGGGUCGCUGCUGUGGUCAUCCUUGCCAUUGCUCUCCAAAAUAACCUCCCCAGUUCUGUGCGUACCGGAUCCGAUCCUUCUUCUCCCGCAAGGUUUGUCUCCUGGGUGUGAAGCAAGUAUUUAUGCCGACAGCUCGUGUUCCAUUUCCUUUUUCCACCUAAUAAAUCCUCCAUCUUUCUUAAGUUAUUCCCUUGGGCUAGUCCUCCCCAAUAUCUCGUUUCCUUCUAGUGUUGCUAUUGUUUUGCUUUAGAUCUGGAAGCCACAAAGCUAGAUCAACUUGGUUUGGUACGAUGCAUGCCUUGUUUUCCAUCUUUGAGCAUCGUUCCUUUCAAGCCAUGGUGAUGUGUUGCAGGCUCUUAGUUUGCACCAUGGCUAGGGCCAGCUUCGAUUUGGCUUUUUCUUGGUUUCUUAUGCCCACUCAAGGGGUGCUCAAGGCUUGAGUAAAAGCAUGGCUCCGAUGGUUAGUCUGCGCCGCAGAGCGACUGCAACUUCACUGUCUUGUUGGUUGCAACCGGCGUUUUGGUUUGCUGGUGGCAAGCUAGCUCCAGUCAGCGGCGGUGUUGUAAGAAGCCUUUAUAUUCCUUGUUGAUGAUGAUGCUGCGCAGGGCCAGGAUCCUCAGGAUCCCGAGCCCAAGCGACGAGGUGGUCCAAAUCCGGCACGGGGACGCGGUCGACGACCCUACCGGCCGACCAUGGUGACCGUGCCAGACGGGCCUGGGCUGCGAUCUGUGUCGCCUGGUCCUCCUCUUCGACCUCAACGUCCUCAAGGGUGACAUGAGCACCGACGGUCGCUGCCUACUGGUGCUACAUCGUGCUCUGGGUGGCCGCCUCGCGUCGGGGUCGGGCCGUCGCCUGUCCUCAAGGAGAACCUCGUCGAGCUCUGCCCCAUCCCCGCGCCCUUCGGCGUCGACAGCAGCUACCUCGCAGCCGCCGGCCUCCAGGAUCCCGACGGCCUCGCGGAGCCCCAGGUGUUCCUGCUCAAGUUCUACUGCUACGACCGGAUGGGCCUCCUGCACGCUUUUAGGUACUGCUUGAUUGAUCCUGUCUAUGUCGAUGCUAUUUUACAAGAAAUUGCUAUUUUUGUUUGGGACUGGUGUAAUUGUUAUUUUUGUUUGGGACUGACUAAAGAACAACAUAUAUAAGUAUGUUUCCCUC